rnacentral:lncRNA from 1 species
UCGAAUAAGGCGUUCAAAAUAUGACCCCUACAUAUGAACUCAUCCUCCUCCCUCUUCUUCCUUGCCGCCACCACUUGAGGUGUGUCAUUUUCCUUUGGUUCCGGUAACGGUGCCAAGGUAGGAUCAAGGAUGUAGAAAAUCUUGAGUGUUGUGAGAAGGAAUCUCACCUUGUCUUGCCACCUAGUGAAGUUGGAACCAUCAAAACGAUCCAACCUCACAAGGUCUUGGUUCAUAAUCUUGAUAGUCUCUCCUUCCAUUGAAAAAAUAGAGUCUUUGAUU